GGAUGUAAGGGCGAUCUGGUGGAGACAUCUGUCACCCCAUUGAUCGCCAGGGUUGAUUCAGCUGAUUUGGCUGGCUAGACGGGUGUCCCCUUCCUCCCUCACCACUCCAUAUGCGUCCUUCCCGAAACUACGUGCUUGGUCUAAGAGGAUGGCCUUCCCCAAAUAGAGAUUCGGUCGAGGGUAUAGGAGUAGCUGCACUACCCUGCUAGAACCUCCAAACAAGCUCUUAAGAAUAAGGAGAAGGAGAAGGAGAAGGAGAAGGAGAA
rnacentral:snRNA from 1 species